rnacentral:misc_RNA from 1 species
AAAAAAAAAAAAAAAAAAAACUAGUGCCAGUAAUACGGCAGACCCGAGAGAAUGAUUUUGAUAUUAAGCGAAGAACACUCCAUGAAGCAAACUGAGGUAUUCACACAGUGAGUGGAAAAAAAGAAAAUGACAACUUCACUUAUGUAUGCUGUCAUGAUACCAUUGCAAAGAUCAUGGUGGACUGUAAUAUCGUGCAAUGCUUUGACGACCCGACGCAACAUGCAAAAGAUGAGAUACCCGAUGGUACUUAAAAUUUGUAACACUUAGUGUAUUCCGAGGAAAAUUUGUUAACUUGAUGCAUAUUUUCAUUUUCAAGGGAGGGGCAUUUGUCCUGAUCCACAACUCACUCUACACAGCAGAGAGAUGACAGUUCAAGGUUUAAUGAUUAAAAAAUUGGUAAGUGGAAAAUAGGAUAUGAAACAAAACAAAAAUUUACGACUCGAAGGCCAAAUUAUCCCGGACAGAUCUAACUAUUAGCCCAAUCACCAACUGCAAAUGCAGAAGAAAUAAUUCUUUAGAUAAAAGACAGCAAAGUUGAGGAGAUUGAAACAGGUAGGCAUAACCGACUUAAAAAAAAAAAGGAAGGCACUAAAAUGUUUUAAGCCUCUGCAUUUCGUGACCAGACUUCUCUUUUCUCAUUCUUAGAAUAGUUGCGAGUUUAGGAAAAGAAGUGGACUUUACAACCUCACUUAUAAAGGAAAAAACGGCGGAAAUUAUCACAACAAUGACCUUGGCAUGGGGUGGAAUUCUUCGCUUUCAAAAUCAGCCAGCUCUGGGCCACCGCGUCCACUGGUCGCAACUACUUUGUUUUCAGAGUCUGUAACUUCUUUGCUUACAUCAUUUAUGCAUGCAUCAAGUUCUGCACUUACAUCCGAAGUGUUUGAUACACAGUAUUUCUGCAGCCAUCUAUCUGUUUCCCAGAGAACAUGCAUGAUGCUCUCGCGUGCAGCAUAUCCAUGGCUCUCAAAAGGAAGAACAACCAGGCGACAAAGUGCACCAUGACCUUUCAGAGCAUUAAAGAAACGAUCCGACUGCAUGGUUAGUGUUCCUGAAUUGUUAUCUUGUUCUCCAUGAACAAGUAAUAUGGGCUUUUUAAUUUUGUUGGCUGAAAUGAAAGGGCUCAUCUCAACAUAUGUACUUGUGGCCUCCCAGAGUGUUCUGUCCUCAUUCUGAAAACCAAAAGGUGUGAGUGUUCUGUUGUAAGCCCCAGAGCGUGCAAUUCCGCAACAGAAAAGAUGAGGAGCAUGUGCCAAUAGGUUUGCCGUCAUGAAUGCACCAUAGGAAUGACCUCCAACAGCAAUUUUUCCAGGAUAAACAACUCCACGUCGGAUAACUUCCUCAACAGCUGCCUCUGCACUUGCAACCAGUUGCUCUACGUACCUAUCAUUUGCCUCCUCAUCACCCUCACCAAUAAUAGGAAUCGUUGGGCCAGAUAAAAUGGCAAAUCUCCUAGCAAGCCAAAGAAGAGCUGAUGUUGGGCCUAUGCCUGCAAAUUCAUUAGGAGAACCACGAACUUGUCCUGCAGCAUCUUUGCUUUUAAAUUCUCCAGGGUAAGACCAGAACAGACAUGGAAGAGGGCCAUCUUUUGAUGCAUCAUAGCCAGGUGGCAAGUAUAAUGUUGCAGUAAGCUGAACGCCAUCCUUCCUCAGGUACCUAAUCAUCUCUUUCUGCAAUGAUGCCAACUGUGGGUAUGGAUGAGGAAAAUUUGUAAUCUGACAUGCUUUCUUAUCUGGCCAGCUCUGGAUAUAAUACUGAGUAUUUUCAGUUUUUGACUCCUUUGAAGUCAACAAUUUCAAUUGAUCAAGGUGUAGAUCCCCUUCCUUAAGAUCAGACAUUAGAGUAACAACAGUCUCAAAAUAUUUUUCUUUAUCACUCUGCCAAAUUCGUUCUUUGCUGCUUGUAUUUAUGUCAAACAGAUCAAGGAAAGGGAUAUUCCCUUCAGGUGUUGCACCACUUCCAUUCAGUAAAACAUAAGUGCCUUCAUCAUUUUCCUUCUUUAUCUUUGCAAUCACAUAAGUUCCAGAAGGAGUUCUUCUCAUCAUAGGGGAGCCAGGAUCGGAGUAAACAUCUUCGGAAGACCUAUCAAAUAGUAUUCGUGGACUCACAUCUUUAAAGCCAGGAGAUAUUACCCAGGUUCUUGUUCGCCUUGUCUUGUACCACGAUUCAUAAACUAGAGCUAGAGAAUCAUCACACCAAGAAAUUCCACCAUAGCGAAGAUCGAGUUUGUGUAAGAUUUCUGGCUGUUCACCUUCAAGUGGCUCAGCAGGUUGUGUAUAAAUUAUAUCUCGCGGAGAAACUUCUACUUUUGCAUCACCCUCAUCUUGUGUCUCUGCCCAGUAGAGUGUUGAAGGCUUGUCAGCUCUCCAAUUGAUUGAUCGCAUCCCUUUGCGCACGCUAUUGAAUGCUAUGGGAAUGUCCUCAGCAAGGGGCAAAUCGCAGAGUUCCCUCACAAACUUCCCAUCAGUUGUCCAUAGUUCUACCUUUUUGGGAAACCUACCACAUGGUACAAUAAAAGAGUAUGGCCUGUGAAUAGAACUAAUCAAAAGGUACUUCUGAUCUGGGGAAGGGUCCAUUGAUGUAUACACAGCCGGUGGACCAAUUUCCUUCACUGUCCCAUCCAAAGAUACCAAUACAAGUUGUGAGGUAGCAUAGUAGUCAAAUAAAUCUUCAUCAUACUCAUCUUUCAGCAAAUCCUGGAAGGUUCGAACUUGAACAACAUUUCUUGUCUCAUUAGAUUGAAUCUUUGGACCAGAGGGAACCAAAGGUUUCUUUGGUGGAUCUUCCCGAGAUGAUGGAAUAGUGCAAACUAAUACAGAAGAGUUAUCCAACCAAACAAAAUUAUCAAAGACAGCAUUUAGAUAGACAUCCGGUGACUUAAACAAUGAGUUAGCUUUCCCUGUUUCCACAUCAGCAACCCAUACACUAAGCUUACUACUACUGUUAUCUUCUUCAUCAACUCGGAUGCUGAAGGAUAAAUGCCUACCAUCAGGAGACCAGGUAACAAAAUUGAUCUUAGCACCAUCUGGGAAGCCAUGGACCACCUUCUCUGGCCCCAGAGUACCAUCAGGCAAUAAUUGAUGGAUACCAAUACCAGUGUAAAAUGACAUUCGGCUCCUAGUAUUGCAUUUUCCAUCAAUUCGCAUACCAGCCAGUUUUUCCUCUGGCUUAGCUAGUUCUGUUAAUGGAGGUAAAGAUCUCCUCUUGAGAAAUAGUAUUUUGUCUCUUUGUGGUGAAAACGACAAUGCCGGGACAGGGGGUGCAUCAACAAUAUCUUUAAUCUCCGCUGGAGGAAGUUGAUACUUACCACCCAAUGCUUAUACAUAUUACGAAAUGAAAGGAAUGUCGUCAAAUAAAAGCAACAAUCAACCCGUAACAAUUAAUAAAAACAUAAACAUUUUCAAAGAACAUGAAGUUCAUUUAAAUAGGAAAAAUUAAGUGCAUAAGUGAAUAAUUCAACGUGUAAUCCACAAAACAUAAGUGUUAUACAGAGUUACAGACACAUAUGUACAUGAAUACAAGACUAUCUACCAAGUGAAUAAAGAAUUAUUUUCAUAGUCAUUUUAAAAGCAACCCACUGCUUCUACAAGAUUAACUACAAGAGAAAACACAUUGUCUGGUAAAAUAAAAAUGCAAAGAAAAUUAAAAAAAAAGAAAAAAAAAAGAAAAAACUCUUGAUCCUGCUGACUUCCACAAAAAUUAACAUCCUUUAUUUCUAAUUUCUGGAUGGAAACCAAGAGAUGUAUAUCUGCAAUUAUAAUUGGCAAAAUGACAGUGUACAAGGUUUAUACAUGCUCAUACAGUUGCUGCUUUCAGAGAGAGAAAAUCAGAAAUUUUGUUUGUGUAGAAAUCUGGUUGGAUGGAGUUACCGGGGCUUUGAAGCAUUGAUAAUGAAGUCACGCCUGAGAGAACAAGGAGAGUUUUGCAACCACCAUUUUGCCCAAACAGAAUAUCAGUAUCUAAUCUGUCCCCAACCAUGCAUAUCUGUGACUUGAGAAUCCUGAAUCUGUAAUUGAUCAAAUCCAUGAAAAUGGUAAGAGGGAUCAAUUACCCAAUUAAAUGGAACAACUAUUUUCCAUUGGAUUGUCUUUCUCAAAAUGCUGAAAGUGCUUUAGAUUUCGUCACAUCAGUAUGCAUGGUUUCAUUCGACAUGACAUUAACUGAAUUACUGAGACAUCAAACAUUGUGUUGUUAUAGUCAUAUCACAUUCAAAGGUUAAGUAUGAACUCUAAAGGUUCGACCUUACCAAUGGUAAAAAUAGCCAAUUGACCAUGACCAAGUAAAUAACACAAACAUUUGAUUGAGUCAAAAUUAUAUAUUUUGUGACAGAUUUCAAGACUGGCUAGGUAUAAAAACAGUGUAUAAUGUAUAAACUGCACAUCAGGUCUACUGAAUCUGCUCAAGCUUAAGGUAGUAGAGAAGAUAAAAGAUAAAAUAUAAAAUAUGCAAGCAUUUAAGCAUUUUGAGGUCAUACUUGUUUGCCAAGUAAUCCAUCAUAAAAGUUGAUGGCUUUCCAACAACCAGUGGUUCACGCUGGGUUGAUCCAGCAAUUGCACCAACCAUGGAACCACCACCUGAAAUUUAAGCAUGCAUUAUAGCCAAUUGAGGAAGAAUUUGCAAAGAAAAUGAACAAUCAUAAAAGUGAACUCGAUCAGAAAGAGUCACAGUUCUGCUGAAAAAGAGGAAAGGAGGAGUUUCAUGAUGUAUGUUCUCAAAUUUUCAUGAUUAAUGGUCUAAUGCUGCUUAGGUUUGGUUUCAACUAUAAUCCCAAAAAUGGUAACUUCUUGAUAGUCGACCAAUUUUGGCAAUUGUAAAACCAGUUCAUAUUCUCAAUAUUUCCUCAUCUAAUCAUGUAUAUCACAUUUCAGUCUAUAAUGCAUUGUCAUUUCAUCAUUUCAAAUUCAUUGUUCCCUAGUGCCACUGAUAUGAAACUCCUUAAAGGCAAGGCCCCAUGCGUCCUCUAAUGCCACGAUACUUAUUCACUUGAAAUUGUGACAAAGAAGUUGUGAAAAAUGAUAUAUAAGAACUAUCUCAUUGUGUAGGCAUUAUUCAUCAAAAUGCUUGUACUAGCUCUAUCUCUUCAUUCAAAGAUUCAAAAUAAUCUUCAUAUGAGAAGAAGAAAAGGCUAUGAAACAUGAAAGGCAAUAUAGGCAGGAUGGAUGAGAACCUGCCCAUUCCUGAGCAUCUGUGAGAUGAGUGACAGCAUCACGAUUCGUGGCAAUGAAGAGGCACCCUGGGUUUUCCCUUACACAUAGUGUUCCAUACCUUUCAUGCACACAAACAAGAAUAGAUGAUUGGCUAAAUGAAAACAAAAAUAAACAAGAUACAUAAAUAAAGUACACUCCCAACUAGAAAAGGCAAACACUCAAAUUUUUGUGUAUUUUCUGCAUGAUCUUUGUGUAUUUUCUGCAUUAUCUUUGUGUAUUUAUUAACAUGCAUGCACAAUAACAGAUUGUUCAACUUACUGUACUUUGUAGUAGUUGAAAUAACGAUCAAAUCCAACCACAACUGCUCCAACCUAAAUAGCAACGAAGACAUUUCUUUAGUAUGCCCAAAUUUAGGGAAAAACAAACUACACUUGCUCAUUCAAUUUCUAGUUCCUGAAAAGAAGAAUGCAAAAGCCAAGACAGUCCUUUCCAAGUUUUGGAAAAGGCCCUAAAAAAAAUCCAACCAGAAAAGCUGUAAAGAAAAGCAAGAAAGCAAAAGAAGUUUUACAUCCUUAUCAUGCUCCAUUAGAAACCCAGGCUUCAGUUCUAUCUUUUUCCCACCAUCUUCCUGCAUAAAUGUAAAACACAUUACGAAAAAAAAAAAAAAAA